rnacentral:rRNA from 1 species
GGUUAAGCGACUAAGCGUACACGGUGGAUGCCCUGGCAGUCAGAGGCGAUGAAGGGCGUGCUAAUCUGCGAUAAGCGCCGGUAAGGUGAUAUGAACCGUUAUAACCGGCGAUACCCGAAUGGGGAAACCCAGUGUGACUCGUCACACUAUCAUUAACUGAAUCCAUAGGUUAAUGAGGCGAACCGGGGGAACUGAAACAUCUAAGUACCCCGAGGAAAAGAAAUCAACCGAGAUUCCCCCAGUAGCGGCGAGCGAACGGGGAGGAGCCCAGAGCCUGAAUCAGCAUGUGUGUUAGUGGAAGCGUCUGGAAAGGCGCGCGAUACAGGGUGACAGCCCCGUACACAAAAGCGCAUGUGCUGUGAGCUCGAUGAGUAGGGCGGGACACGUGGUAUCCUGUCUGAAUAUGGGGGGACCAUCCUCCAAGGCUAAAUACUCCUGACUGACCGAUAGUGAACCAGUACCGUGAGGGAAAGGCGAAAAGAACCCCGGCGAGGGGAGUGAAAAAGAACCUGAAACCGUGUACGUACAAGCAGUGGGAGCCCCACCACCAAAGCAUUCUCUGGUGUUGAAGGCCCUGCAAAGCAGCAUCGCGGUGGCGGAGCGUCGUUUGCGACGCCCAACACACAAAACAAGCGGUGAGUGCUUUGGGGUGGGGUGACUGCGUACCUUUUGUAUAAUGGGUCAGCGACUUAUAUUCUGUAGCAAGGUUAACCGAAUAGGGGAGCCGGAGGGAAACCGAGUCUUAAUUGGGCGUUAAGUUGCAGGGUAUAGACCCGAAACCCGGUGAUCUAGCCAUGGGCAGGUUGAAGGUUGGGUAACACUAACUGGAGGACCGAACCGACUAAUGUUGAAAAAUUAGCGGAUGACCUGUGGCUGGGGGUGAAAGGCCAAUCAAACCGGGAGAUAGCUGGUUCUCCCCGAAAGCUAUUUAGGUAGCGCCUCGUGAAUUCAUCUCCGGGGGUAGAGCACUGUUUCGGCUAGGGGGCCAUCCCGGCUUACCAACCCGAUGCAAACUGCGAAUACCGGAGAAUGUUAUCACGGGAGACACACGGCGGGUGCUAACGUCCGUCGUGAAGAGGGAAACAACCCAGACCGCCAGCUAAGGUCCCAAAGUCAUGGUUAAGUGGGAAACGAUGUGGGAAGGCCCAGACAGCCAGGAUGUUGGCUUAGAAGCAGCCAUCAUUUAAAGAAAGCGUAAUAGCUCACUGGUCGAGUCGGCCUGCGCGGAAGAUGUAACGGGGCUAAACCAUGCACCGAAGCUGCGGCAGCGA